rnacentral:rRNA from 1 species
GUGAGGAAUUUUCCGCAAUGGGCGAAAGCCUGACGGAGCAAUGCCGCGUGAAGGAUGAAGGCCUAUGGGUUGUAAACUUCUUUUCUUAGAGAAGAAUAUUGACGGUAUCUGAGGAAUAAGCAUCGGCUAACUCUGUGCCAGCAGCCGCGGUAAGACAGAGGAUGCAAGCGUUAUCCGGAAUGAUUGGGCGUAAAGCGUCUGUAGGUGGCUUCAAAAGUCGCCUGUCAAAGAUCAGGGCUUAACCCUGGGCCGGCAGGGGAAACUCUGAGGCUAGAGUUUGGUAGGGGCAGAGGGAAUUCCCGGUGGAGCAGUGAAAUGCGUAGAGAUCGGGAGGAACACCAAAGGCGAAAGCACUCUGCUGGGCCACAACUGACACUGAGAGACGAAAGCGAGGGGAGCAAAAGGGAUUAGAAACCCUUGUAGUCC